GACGAACGCUGGCGGCGUGCCUAAUACAUGCAAGUUGAGCGCUGAAGGUUGGUACUUGUACCGACUGGAUGAGCAGCGAACGGGUGAGUAACGCGUGGGGAAUCUGCCUUUGAGCGGGGGACAACAUUUGGAAACGAAUGCUAAUACCGCAUAAAAACUUUAAACACAAGUUUUAAGUUUGAAAGAUGCAAUUGCAUCACUCAAAGAUGAUCCCGCGUUGUAUUAGCUAGUUGGUGAGGUAAAGGCUCACCAGGGCGAUGAUACAUAGCCGACCUGAGAGGGUGAUCGGCAACAUUGGGACUGAGACACGGCCCAAACUCCUACGGGAGGCAGCAGUAGGGAAUCUUCGGCAAUGGACGAAAGUCUGACCGAGCAACGCCGCGUGAGUGAAGAAGGUUUUCGGAUCGUAAAACUCUGUUGGUAGAGAAGAACGUUGGUGAGAGUGGAAAGCUCAUCAAGUGACGGUGACUACCCAGAAAGGGACGGCUAACUACGUG
rnacentral:rRNA from 1 species